UUCUUCGGAGAGUUUGAUCCUGGCUCAGGAUGAACGCUGGCGGCGUGCCUAAUACAUGCAAGUCGAGCGAACUGAUUAGAAGCUUGCUUCUAUGACGUUAGCGGCGGACGGGUGAGUAACACGUGGGCAACCUGCCUGUAAGACUGGGAUAACUUCGGGAAACCGAAGCUAAUACCGGAUAGGAUCUUCUCCUUCAUGGGAGAUGAUUUGAAAGAUGGUUUCGGCUAUCACUUACAGAUGGGCCC
rnacentral:rRNA from 1 species